rnacentral:lncRNA from 1 species
UUUUUUUUUUUUCAGGGAAGAAAAAAAUGCGGUAGCUAUGCUUCUAUUUUAAUUUACCAUAUGAAGGGAUUAAGAUUUGUAGAUUUCAAAAACAGUGCAGGCCAUAGCUUUAGUGACCUCAACUUUGCUUAAUUGCACCGCACUGAUCCCUUUGCCAAAAUACCCUUUUAGUUAUUAGUCAUGAUUCAUUGAGAAGCGUUGUUCAGAAAAUAACCUAAUACAUUAGUACGUUGUAUUUCACCAUGGAAAAAAAAUGAAAAGGUAAAGGGGGUUACAAGAAAAUUAUGGGCUACGGGAUUGGAAUUCUCAGAUUAAUAUCUGUAGGUGCUCUCUUUUGAACAACUGUAUCCAGUUCCACUCCCCGAAGGACUUCCGUGCUCGUAACCAUCAAGUAGGCGAUUCACCUGACUUCCUGUUCAAGCAGGUACAACUCAUACCAUUUUGAAGUUGCUUCAUUCAAAAUCAAAUAGCUUGCCCUCUUCAAAAUUCUAAACUACA